rnacentral:rRNA from 1 species
AAAUUGAAGAGUUUGAUCAUGGCUCAGAUUGAACGCUGGCGGCAGGCCUAACACAUGCAAGUCGAACGGUAGCACAGAGAGCUUGCUCUCGGGUGACGAGUGGCGGACGGGUGAGUAAUGUCUGGGAAACUGCCUGAUGGAGGGGGAUAACUACUGGAAACGGUAGCUAAUACCGCAUAACGUCGCAAGACCAAAGAGGGGGACCUUCGGGCCUCUUGCCAUCAGAUGUGCCCAGAUGGGAUUAGCUAGUAGGUGGGGUAACGGCUCACCUAGGCGACGAUCCCUAGCUGGUCUGAGAGGAUGACCAGCCACACUGGAACUGAGACACGGUCCAGACUCCUACGGGAGGCAGCAGUGGGGAAUAUUGCACAAUGGGCGCAAGCCUGAUGCAGCCAUGCCGCGUGUAUGAAGAAGGCCUUCGGGUUGUAAAGUACUUUCAGCGAGGAGGAAGGUGUUGAGGUUAAUAACCUCAGCAAUUGACGUUACUCGCAGAAGAAGCACCGGCUAACUCCGUGCCAGCAGCCGCGGUAAUACGGAGGGUGCAAGCGUUAAUCGGAAUUACUGGGCGUAAAGCGCACGCAGGCGGUCUGUCAAGUCGGAUGUGAAAUCCCCGGGCUCAACCUGGGAACUGCAUUCGAAACUGGCAGGCUAGAGUCUUGUAGAGGGGGGUAGAAUUCCAGGUGUAGCGGUGAAAUGCGUAGAGAUCUGGAGGAAUACCGGUGGCGAAGGCGGCCCCCUGGACAAAGACUGACGCUCAGGUGCGAAAGCGUGGGGAGCAAACAGGAUUAGAUACCCUGGUAGUCCACGCCGUAAACGAUGUCGACUUGGAGGUUGUGCCCUUGAGGCGUGGCUUCCGGAGCUAACGCGUUAAGUCGACCGCCUGGGGAGUACGGCCGCAAGGUUAAAACUCAAAUGAAUUGACGGGGGCCCGCACAAGCGGUGGAGCAUGUGGUUUAAUUCGAUGCAACGCGAAGAACCUUACCUACUCUUGACAUCCAGAGAACUUAGCAGAGAUGCUUUGGUGCCUUCGGGAACUCUGAGACAGGUGCUGCAUGGCUGUCGUCAGCUCGUGUUGUGAAAUGUUGGGUUAAGUCCCGCAACGAGCGCAACCCUUAUCCUUUGUUGCCAGCGGUUAGGCCGGGAACUCAAAGGAGACUGCCAGUGAUAAACUGGAGGAAGGUGGGGAUGACGUCAAGUCAUCAUGGCCCUUACGAGUAGGGCUACACACGUGCUACAAUGGCGCAUACAAAGAGAAGCGACCUCGCGAGAGCAAGCGGACCUCAUAAAGUGCGUCGUAGUCCGGAUUGAGUCUGCAACUCGACUCCAUGAAGUCGGAAUCGCUAGUAAUCGUAGAUCAGAAUGCUACGGUGAAUACGUUCCCGGGCCUUGUACACACCGCCCGUCACACCAUGGGAGUGGGUUGCAAAAGAAGUAGGUAGCUUAACCUUCGGGAGGGCGCUUACCACUUUGUGAUUCAUGACUGGGGUGAAGUCGUAACAAGGUAACCGUAGGGGAACCUGCGGUUGGAUCACCUCCUUACCUUAAAGAA